rnacentral:rRNA from 1 species
AUGAGAGGGGAUGGGGAGGAGGAGGCGUCGGCGCCGCUGCUGCAGGCGCGCGGCGGGGAGGAGGCGGAGGCGAAGGGGGGCCGCGGCCGGGGCGCGCGGGUGGCGCGGGAGUGGUGGGACGAGUCGAAGCGGCUGUGGCGGAUCGUGGGGCCGGCCAUCUUCCAGCGGGUGGCGCUGUACGGGAUCAACGUCGUCUCGCAGGCCUUCAUCGGCCACAUCGGCGACCUCGAGCUCGCCGCCUUCUCCAUCGCCUCCACCGUCAUCGCCGGCUUCAACUUCGGAUUCCUGCUGGGCAUGGCGAGCGCGCUGGAGACGCUGUGCGGGCAGGCGUUCGGGGCGAAGAAGCACCACAUGCUGGGCAUCUACCUGCAGCGCUCCUGGAUCGUGCUCUUCCUCUUCGCGCUGGCGCUCACGCCCACCUACGUCUUCACCGAGCACCUGCUGCUCCUUCUCGGCCAGACGCCGGAGCUGUCCCGCCUGGCGGGCAAGAUGAGCGUGUGGCUCAUCCCGCAGCACUUCGCCAUGGCCAUGCUGCUCCCGCUCACCCGCUUCCUGCAGAGCCAGCUCAAGAACUGGGUCACCGCCGCCACCGCCGGGGUCACGCUCGCGCUGCACGUCGUCGUCACCUACCUCCUCGUCACCCGCUUCCAGCUCGGCUACGCCGGCGUCGUCGUCGCCGCCGACGUCGCCUGGUGGGUCGUCGUGCUGGGACAGUUCUUCUAUGUGGUCUGCGGCGGGUGCCCGCUGUCGUGGAGGGGCUUCUCCGUGGAGGCCUUGGCCGACUUCUGGGAAUUCAUCAAGCUCUCCACGGCAUCCGGCGUCAUGCUCUGCAUGGAGAACUGGUACUACAGGGUGCUUGUGCUGCUUACGGGGUACCUGCCCAACGCUGAGAUCGCCGUGGAUGCCCUCUCCAUAUGCUUGACGAUCAACGGAUGGGAGAUGAUGAUCCCCCUAGGGUUCCUGGCAGCAACUGGCGUGCGGGUGGCAAACGAGCUCGGCGCGGGCAGCGGCAAGGGCGCGCGCUUCUCCAUCAUCGUCUCCAUCACCACCUCCGUGGUGAUCGGGCUCGUCUUCUGGUGCCUCAUCCUCACCUACAACGACCAGAUCGCGCUCCUCUUCUCGUCGGGGAAGGCCGUGCUCGACGCCGUGCACAACCUCUCCAUGCUGCUCGCCUUCACCAUCCUCCUCAACAGCGUGCAGCCCGUCCUCUCAGGGGUGGCUAUUGGUUCUGGAUGGCAAGCACUGGUCGCCUAUGUCAACAUCGGAUCCUACUACCUGGUCGGGGUGCCCAUCGGGAUCAUACUGGGCUGGCCACUCGGCUUCGGAGUUCGGGGAAUUUGGUCUGGGUUGAUUGGCGGGACUGCUGUUCAGACGCUGGUGUUAGUCUAUCUCACCAUGAGAUGUGACUGGGACGAUGAGGCCAAGACCACCAGUGCACGAAUGAGAAAAUGGGCCAGCACAAAAUGA